UCCCUGGUGGCUCAGAGGUUAAAGUGUCUGCCUCCAAUGCAGGAGACCCGGGUUCAACCCCUGGGUUGGGAA
rnacentral:tRNA from 1 species